rnacentral:rRNA from 1 species
UACGAAGGGGGCUAGCGUUGUUCGGAAUUACUGGGCGUAAAGAGAGAGAAGGCGGUUUUUCAAGGCAGUGGUGAAAGCCCGGAGCUCAACUUCGGAACUGCCAUUGAAACUGUGAAACUUGAGGAUGAGAGAGGUGAGUGGAAUUCCCAGUGUAGAGGUGAAAUUCGUAGAUAUUGGGAAGAACACCGGUGGCGAAGGCGGCUCACUGGCUCGUUUCUGACGCUCAGGCGCGACAGCGUGGGGAUCAAACAGG